rnacentral:lncRNA from 1 species
CGUGCCUGCCACCAGCUGCACCAGGAGGGCAAGUUCGUGGAGCUUGGCCUCUCCAACUAUGCAGCCUGGGAAGUGGCCGAGAUCUGUACCCUCUGCAAGAGCAACGGCUGGAUCCUGCCCACUGUGUACCAGGGGGCCUGCUGACCGGCAAGUACAAGUAUGAGGACAAGAAUGGGAAACAGCCCGUGGGCCGCUUCUUUGGGAAUACCUGGGCAGAGAUGUACAGGAAUCGCUACUGGAAGGAGCACCACUUUGAGGGCAUUGCCCUGGUGGAGAAGGCCCUGCAGGCCGCGUAUGGCGCCAGCGCCCCCAGCAUGACCUCGGCCACCCUCCGGUGGAU